rnacentral:tRNA from 1 species
GGGGUCAUGGCGCAAUUGGUAGUCGCGUCCGCCUCCAGAGCGGAAGGUUGUUGGUUCAAAUCCUGCUGGUCCCA